CACUACCUCCCUGUUGGCUCGUUCGCCCUCCAACGUCUAGAGGACAGNGGUAUUAGACCUACCCAAGGUACUUACGCGACCGGUAAACUAGUAGAUACGUAGGUUGGUUCUCGUGUAUCCGGACCCGACUAGCGCGUGACACGUACGUAGCACGCCUCGGUGGGAGUACGCCACGUAGGUAGAACUACGAAAGUAUACGGAGGGGCCCCGCACAAGCGGUGGAGCAUGUGGUUAAUUCGAAGCAACGCGAAGAACCUUACCAGGUCUUGACAUCCCAGUGACCGCUCUAGAGAUAGAGUUUUCUUCGGAACACUGGUGACAGGUGGUGCAUGGUUGUCGUCAGCUCGUGUCGUGAGAUGUUGGGUUAAGUCCCGCAACGAGCGCAACCCU
rnacentral:rRNA from 1 species